CGCAGGGCGGGGGCCAGCGAGCGCCACUCAGAGUUUCCAGCGACAUUUCCAGCGGGUGGGAAGGGAGCCGCUGCACGGCGGAGCCAGGACAGAGGGCAGGAAUGAUUAAAGAACCCGGCUAUCUGAUCCUGGUCGCAGCGGGCCCUACCCUCACCCUGCUCCUUGAGGCCACCACCUUUUGUUCCACGGAUUAUCCCCCAGUGGCCCCCGUGUCAACUCAGGGAUACUGAGCAAAGCAGACCCAAAUGGAUUAUCAAAGAAAGCACAGUCCCUUUUGAGGAUUUUGGACUUCUCUACAGGGGAAGACCACAGUGACCCAUUAGUGAGGAACUGAAACCAAGUCACAUCAGAGACAUGAGUACAGAUCUGGACUGUUUCAUCUCCUGGGCUCCAUCCCUUUCUCCUGGGUCCACUCCUGAUUCCAGCUUUGCUAAUGUUGCCAGCCAAGUUCUACCCAAGGUCCUCAUCAGGCCAAACACUCAUGGGAACAGGAGCAAGAGAAGGGGAACACAAGGCACCCACUGUGGGUCUUGGAAGACCCUCUGAAGCUGACAAUGGCAUGGCCUAACCCAAGUGUUUUGGUAUAGUUGCUGUAAAGCAAGGGAUCUCUGUGAGUGAAAAAAUACCCAUUACAGGUCACAGAUGGUCAUUGCUGGAGCCUGGCAGCCAGGGUGAGUGGAUCCCCAUGGGAUACAGGAUGAGGCCUUCAGGCCCGCCUGGCACACAGAUCUUUCCAUAGCACACACAUGAUGUAACAGCAGUCUAUUCAAGGUUCUGAGUCAGCCACAUCCAAACCCCGAAGGCUGGGAGAGAACUCAGCCUUUGGUCCAAUUAUCUAGUCUAUCUUCAAGGAGGCCUUUACACUGACAUCACACCACCGACUGUUCUCUCUCUCCCUCCUUUCAUAGAUGAGCAAACAAGCACAAUGUGCAGAUGGGGUGUCUUUGAGAAGAACUGAGCUGGAUGGACCUCUUUUAGUUCUCAGGAGAGAAAGAAAGAGCAAGUGGCUGUCAGCUCUUCAGAAAGCAGAUUUUAUAAGGGAAAGAUAAAUAAGCGAUGACCUCAGAGGGAAAACCCAGCCAAGUUAACUCAGCCACAAAGAAGGGCACACAGACCAGGAGCUGGAAAACUAGGUCUGCAUCACCCUUUCCUAGCAGGUAAACUGAGAUAAGGAAGAUAAGACGGCUUGAUUUGCUGGCCAGUGGACACCACGAGGUCUGGCCUCCAAACAAAGAAUGACCUUGUCUUCCCACCUCCUUGAAUUCUAAAAUGAACCUUCUCCUGAACUGCAGCAACGUUAAAAAGGAUAAUUUACCAUUAUUAAUCCACUGUAGCAAAAUUGAACCGACUUUCUAAAACCUGGAAGUUGUGAUAAAAAAACAAAAAGACCAGGCGAUUACACAUAGCAGGCAAGAAAGUAGGGAUUGGAUCUAGAUGUAGUGAGAGGUAAAUAUGAAUUUGCAUUUGAGUUCUUAAUUUCCAGGCUUAAAUUUUUUUUUUUUUCACAACUCUUGAAAUAAGGGCAAAUAUGACCUCAUUUUACUGAAGGUUUAGCUGAGGUAUAAGGACAUUGCUAAGUUAGGAUGCUAUUGGGAUAAACAAAGAUCCCAAAAUGCACACUUAACUCAUUUGGAAUGAGAAAUCUGGGCUCGUUUUCGAGCCCGCAUGUGGCCCUUGGUGUGUCUGUACCAAUGGUGAAAUUGCCUUACUUAAGCUUGGCUGGUCCUGAUUUAGACUUUCUGCCUCUACUGCCAUAGCUCAUAGAAUCCCCUCACUGAUGCAUUUUCCUCUCUAAAGAGCCUAUCCCCUAACCCCCACCUGCCCAGAGGAGUUAUUUUUCCUUGUGAGUCCACAGCACCUCAUGGUAUUUCUACUUUCCAGAGGAAUCAAAGGCUGGUCUGACACUUCCUUUCUUGGGGGGUUCAACUCCACAUUCAAUUCCUCUCUGGCUUCUUCUUCUUCAGCUUCUCCCAAGAUGGAAUAUAUCUGUGUCUAUUAUUAGGACCAUGU